GGAUGGGUGGCCGAGUGGUCUAAGGCGGCAGUCUUGAAAACUGCUGUGGGCGUUUCGCCCACCGGGGGUUCGAAUCCCUCCCCAUCCG
rnacentral:tRNA from 1 species